rnacentral:rRNA from 1 species
UGGGGAAUAUUGGACAAUGGGCGCAAGCCUGAUCCAGCAAUGCCGCGUGUGUGAAGAAGGCCUUCGGGUUGUAAAGCACUUUUAUCAGGAGCGAAGCGCUGUCGGCUAAUACCCGGCGGAACUGACGGUACCUGAGGAAUAAGCACCGGCUAACUUCGUGCCAGCAGCCGCGGUAAUACGAAGGGUGCAAGCGUUAAUCGGAAUUACUGGGCGUAAAGCGUGCGUAGGCGGUUUCUUAAGUCUGCUGUGAAAUCCCCGGGCUCAACCUGGGAAUGGCAGUGGAUACUGGGAGGCUAGAGUGUGUCAGAGGGUGGUGGAAUUCCCGGUGUAGCGGUGAAAUGCGUAGAGAUCGGGAGGAACAUCAGUGGCGAAGGCGGCCACCUGGGACAACACUGACGCUGAGGCACGAAAGCGUGGGGAGCAAACAGGAUUAGAUACCCUGGUAGUCCACGCCCUAAACGAUGCGAACUGGAUGUUGGUCUCAACUCGGAGAUCAGUGUCGAAGCUAACGCGUUAAGUUCGCCGCCUGGGGAGUACGGU